GACGAACGCUGGCGGCGUGCUUAACACAUGCAAGUCGAACGGAAAGGCCCUGCUUGCAGGGUGCUCGAGUGGCGAACGGGUGAGUAACACGUGGGUGAUCUGCCCCUUACUUUGGGAUAAGCCUGGGAAACUGGGUCUAAUACUGGAUAGGACCAUGCUGUAGGUGGUGUGGUGGAAAGAUUAGCUUCGGUAAGGGAUGAGCUCGCGGCCUAUCAGCUUGUUGGUGGGGUAAUGGCCUACCAAGGCGUCGACGGGUAGCCGGCCUGAGAGGGUGGACGGCCACAUUGGGACUGAGAUAAGGCCCAGACUCCUACGGGAGGCAGCAGUGGGGAAUAUUGCACAAUGGGCGCAAGCCUGAUGCAGCGACGCCGCGUGGGGGAUGACGGCCUUCGGGUUGUAAACUCCUUUCAGCCAUGACGAAGCCCUUGUGGUGACGGUAGUGGUAGAAGAAGCACCGGCUAACUACGUG
rnacentral:rRNA from 1 species